ACGCGCGCCAUUUUAUGUUCCAUUUUUCGUUUAAAAUGAUAGAUUGCGUCAAAUAAGUUGUGUUACAGUAUUGUAAACAAUCUGAAAGAAUGGCAGUGUUGUUCAGACUUCACAGUUUUAACGCUAAACAAAUUCACCAUACAAACAAUCGGUUGGACUGAAUCACUGUUCAAAAGAAUCAUUUGUUCGCGAAUCACACAUUAGUAGCAAAUCUAUUGAUCAAUCUAAAGGCAGUUCAAGCAAGUUUACACGUGGAACAAGUUCAGCUAGUAAAAUCACAUUUCUGCGAUCACCUGAAGUAUAGACUAAUCAUAAUGAAAUGCUCAGCUUUGCUUCAGAAUUUGUAGCUAUAGACUGACGGAGCAAGAGAAACUGGACGAUCCGACAUACCAAUGUCAUAUGUUGAACUUCAUUGUAGCAGUUCAUAACGGUCAUGGGUAUCAUUAUGACCCUCCCAGCGUCCGACUGUUUGUGAUAUGGCACUGCCAAUGCCUUUUGGGCAGAUUUCAACUCCUGCUGUCAACUCCAGAGUCUUUGUCUCUGGCUAAGAUGGCCCAGUUUCGCCGUCGGUGUCGUGUUGCAGGCUCCGGCCGUGUGUGUCUGUGUACACAGGUCUGUGCUAAGCGCGCCUGUUGACAGUUAUGCCACCAUCGUUUGAAAGCAGCCAUAUCAGAUGAUCGUGGUAAUGGAUGUUAAAGGCAAACAUAUCUGUUGAAUCAGGGCACCUACAGCGCUUCCCUCUUUGCUGGAAAAUGUUUCUGUCUACGGCCCAGAUGAGGAAAGUCUCCAAGCCACAACAUGACAUCCAUCUCAGGAUAUUUAAUGAGGAUGUCUACCACUGGAGACGCUGGAUUCAUGUGAGGCCCACAUCAGUGAGGACAAAGGGUGAAUUCUUCCCCGGCCGAGGACGGCUAGAGGAAGUAGUGCAGAUGCCAGUGGAGAUAACUGAGUGUGGGUUCGAGUUUCCACCAGCUGGUCAUGCAUACUUCUACUGUGCACAGAUCUGUGUGUAAUUGAGAGUAGAGUGUGUGAACCAAAGAGAGGAGAGAAGAUGUGGCUUAAUCAAGGAGAUGCACUUCUCCUUUCCCUGCUCUUUGAUGUUGUGAAAAGACGUCCACGGUUAACCCUGAGUGUGCAGCCGCUGUGUACUUCUCUUUCAACCCUGAGAUGAUGAAAGUGAUAGCUCCAUGGAGCCGUUGUAUCAGGGGGUGUCCAGGUUCUCUUGAAAAAGAGAUGUGACCCUGAUUGAAAUGAGGAACAUAUUUGAUCUUGAAAUGAAGUGCUUCUAUGCUUUGCACUAAUGCACUCAUCUUUGAUCAUCAAAAGUAAUUGAUAUUACCACAUUGCCUUUAAAGCUUAUUGAACGACAACCAAGCAUAUUGUCCGGAGAACAUUGGUGUCAUUGGCGGAAGGAUGCUCAUUUUGUAGGCCAUUUCCAGAUGAGAUCAGCACCAAUAUAUGAAAUAGACCAAAUUGUGAUAACAAAUGCAAUGUAUUAAAUAAAAUAAAGUUUAUUGGAGUAUGUUUUAAAAGAAAAUACUAUUUCAGUCUUUCUACUUCAAAUUUCAUGUUUAAUUCAAUGUGUUAUUUGCCAUUUCUUUGUAAUUAUUUGAAAAUGGUUUCAAAGUUAAUCCUACGCCUGUUUUUCCUAUU